CAGUUCCUUCCACUCCUGGCCA
rnacentral:miRNA from 1 species